UGAGAAAGGGACAGGGGCUGGAGGCUGAGCUCAAUCUCAUGGCCAAUGAUUCAAACAAUUAUGCCUACCUGUGGACACCAAGGCUCCGAAUGGAACAGAGCAGAACACAAUAAAAUAGGAAGUAAAAUGUGUUGCAAGUAGUGAAGGGGCUUUCUCUCCCCUCUUUGAAGUAAGAGGCUGAAACUGCUUGAACUGAUAAUGAAAUUAUCAAAAUUUCUGAUGUUACCUAGGCUGGCCCAGAAGCUCAAUUUACAAUCCUCCUGACCUCAAAGAAAUGUCAAAAUUAUCCCCUUUCCCUUUGCAUCUUCCAACUGGGGCCCAGACUGUAUCUGUGUCAAUUGGCACUCUCACUGGAGGACCUUCUGUGCCUGGGGCCAUGCGGAGCAGAAGGAAGCUUCCAGGCAGGAACACCAAACCCCAGCUCCUAAUCCUGCACCUACACCUUGAG